rnacentral:lncRNA from 1 species
UUUCAUAUAACUUCGAUGUCAUAUUGUAAAAAGAAAAAAAAAAACAAUUUUAAACCUAGAUUCAGGCCACCGUCUGCUUUUGCUUUUGGUCGGCUAAAAAACCUUUAUUAGAGAUAAGGAAGACACAAACAACACCUCAAAUAAACAAAGAAACACCAAAACAGACCGUUACAAAAUCACUGUCGUUUGCUUUGAUUAAAACCUCACCAGCUCAAGAACAC